GACGAACGCUGGCGGCGUGCUUAACACAUGCAAGUCGAACGGAAAGGCCCUGCUUUUGUGGGGUGCUCGAGUGGCGAACGGGUGAGUAACACGUGAGUAACCUGCCCUGGACUUUGGGAUAACUUCAGGAAACUGGGGCUAAUACCGGAGAGGAGCGCCUGCUGCAGGGUGGGGGUUGGAAAGUUUCGGCGGUUGGGGAUGGACUCGCGGCUUAUUAGCUUGUUGGUGGGGUAGUGGCUUACCAAGGCUUUGACGGGUAGCCGGCCUGAGAGGGUGACCGGCCACAUUGGGACUGAGAUACGGCCCAGACUCCUACGGGAGGCAGCAGUGGGGAAUAUUGCACAAUGGGCGGAAGCCUGAUGCAGCAACGCCGCGUGCGGGAUGACGGCCUUCGGGUUGUAAACCGCUUUCGCCUGUGACGAAGCGUGAGUGACGGUAAUGGGUAAAGAAGCACCGGCUAACUACGUG
rnacentral:rRNA from 1 species